rnacentral:rRNA from 1 species
UACGUAGGGUCCGAGCGUUAAUCGGAAUUACUGGGCGUAAAGCGUGCGCAGGCGGUUUUGUAAGCCCGAUGUGAAAUCCCCGGGCUUAACCUGGGAAUGGCAUUUGGGACUGCAAGGCUUGAGUGCGGCAGAGGGGGGUGGAAUUCCACGUGUAGCAGUGAAAUGCGUAGAGAUGUGGAGGAACACCGAUGGCGAAGGCAGCCCCCUGGGUCGACACUGACGCUCAUGCACGAAAGCGUGGGGAGCAAACAGG